rnacentral:lncRNA from 1 species
UUUUUUUUUUUUGUGCGGCUUUCCCGUGCGGCGAUGAGACGGGGGCGGACGGCGGCGGAAUACAUUCGAGAAAGGGGGCGCGUGGGAAAGCGACGGCCGGGAGCCGGGCCGCGGUCCGGCGACGCACGUGGGGGCCCGUGAGGCGUGACCGGCCGGGCCAGAGAAAAGAAAAGGAAAGGUCACGGCGGUGGGUUUCGGCCCACGAGACAUUCAAUUGAUAGGCACCCACAGCCCAAGGUGGUGAGGUUUCGGCUUGUUUCGGCCUGGUCCGGCGCAUUUUUUGGGGGACGUGCGUGUGCGGUGGACCUGGUGGUGGUGGCGCCGCCGGCCUGGCAAAGUGACGUUGUGUGCUGCUGGGCGGCGGUGGGGUCCAGCCGCCGUCUGCGCGGCUCGCUGCCGGUCGAGGAGCCUAUAAAAGGGGAGGGUCUCCGGCAGCUGGUGAGCGCCCUCGCUUGCGCAGAAACCCUAGUCGCCACAUCACGGCCGCCUCGCUCGAUCGGCAUACCGGUCGCCUGGCUCCCAUUUCUCACCUCCAUCUCUCUUCAGUCUUCAGAUCUGUGCACGGCCACAUCAAGCAUGUGCCUCUCCUUUCUCUGAUGUUGGGAGCGUAGCAUAGUAAGCCGGUUGCCGCGAGGUACUGUGAUUUGUGUUUGCGUCUCGGUCCUUUUGAUUGAUGCGGUUUUGGUUGUUUUUUUCUUCCGUUUGUGUGCGUCUUUUUGCCGGAUCACACGGAUCGAUGAUGCUGUUCAAGAAAUACUGCGUUAUCUUCCUGAUACAAAUGUGAGGCCGUCGUUGCGAUGGCCUCCUGAUGACUCAACUGUCUUGCUGAGAUCCAAGUGACAACAAAUCGGCAGCUCUUCUUUCUGUCGCCUCCCCGCCUCAAUCAUCUGCCUAUGCCUAUCAAUUGAAUGUCUCGUAGUCGUAGGACAGGUGUUUUUAUUUUCGUCGCUCCAUCCAUCUUGCCGCCCUGCUAUAAGAGCAUAUGUAACUGCCUUGCUUGCUUCAUAUGGUUGAAUUAAUACGAUCUGACUAGCCAGAUUUAGAAUGGUUGCUUCAUCAAACCAUCAAAUAAUUGAGCCCAAUCCAUCGAUGUUGCAAACCUAUGUGACCUCAACCAGACCAGUUGCAGUUUCAGUGCAGAGUUCAGACAAGCAUUCCUGAAAGGUCACCAACUCUUUGCUGCAUAUUAGCUUUUUUUAUAGCAAUUACUCAAACCGCUUUUCAGACCAUAACCGAAAUUAGCAGCACAUGACGUCUGAGACAGACAGAAAGUAUGGCAUCAGGGAAAAAAAAAGGUCCCAAGCUAAACAGCAAGUGUAAAGCCAGCUAAUGCAGUUCACAAAUACUUGCAGCGACUUAAACUGCACCAAUUAACACAGUGAAGAUGAACACAGCAAAGUCAAGUACGUGCAUGUUAACCGAACACAGCCGAAUACGGUGCUACCAGUUUACUGUGAUGGUAUCUGGCGGAAGAAAGGUUAACUGAGUUAUGACACGAUUACAUUACAGGCAAUGCGGAAGCAAACUACGGUGUCAGCGUUUAACACCACUUUUCACAGUAUUGUCAAGCAAGCUUAUGUACAGCUGCUCUAACGAAUUUACAGUGACUCCGGCAAGCUCUAUCUCACGACUGAUGAUGGCGGAGCUUCCCCUAGUGUCUCCUAACCGUCAGCGGCAUAGAAAGGAAUCGACUUCAGUGGCAUCACCUUCUCCUGCAAUAUAAGGAAGUGCUGUCAGUGAAUUCU